CUGUCUGUCCAGGGUUCACAGUCACAGUCCUGAGACAAACAUGAGUCUCUCAGCAGGAGUAUUACCGGUCUUGAUGUUUGUGCAACAUGCCAGUUGUGAUGUGGUCUUGACCCAGUCCAGCUCGGAGAUCGGAAAGCCAGGACAGAGCCUGCGGCUGUCCUGUGCAGUCAGUGGAUAUUCCCUGACGGAUAGCAGCUAUGCAACAGGCUGGAUUCGUCAGCCCUCUGGAAAGGGACUGGAGUGGCUGGCACUCAUUUACUAUGAUGCUGACACAAGCUAUGCAGACUCCAUCAAGGGCCGGUUCACAAUCUCCAAGCCUGGCAGCUCAGUCUACCUGCAGAUGAACAGCCUGCAGUCUGACGACACAGCUGUGUAUUACUGUGCCCGAAGACCACAGUGAGGAAGUUCCCUUCACUGC